rnacentral:rRNA from 1 species
GGGCCCGCACAAGCGGUGGAGCAUGUGGUUUAAUUCGAUGAUACGCGAGGAACCUUACCAGGGCUUAAAUGUAAGUUGCAUUAGUUAGAGAUAGCUAUUUCUUCGGACCACUUACAAGGUGCUGCAUGGUUGUCGUCAGCUCGUGCCGUGAGGUGUCAGGUUAAGUCCUAUAACGAGCGCAACCCCUGUUGUUAGUUGCCAGCGGGUAAUGCCGGGAACUCUAGCGAAACUGCCGGUGCAAACCGUGAGGAAGGUGGGGAUGACGUCAAAUCAUCACGGCCCUUACGUCCUGGGCUACACACGUGCUACAAUGGCCGGUACAGAGAGCAGCCACUACGCGAGUAGGCGCGAAUCUUCAAAGCCGGUCUCAGUUCGGAUCGGAGUCUGCAACUCGACUCCGUGAAGCUGGAAUC